GACGAACGCUGGCGGCGUGCUUAACACAUGCAAGUCGAACGAAGUGGCGAACGGGUGAGUAAUACGUGAGUAACCUGCCCUCCUUUUUGGGAUAAGCCUUGGAAACGGUGUCUAAUACCGCAUAAAGGGGGAUGGGCUCGCGGCCUAUCAGCUUGUUGGUGGGGUGAUGGCCUACCAAGGGGGUGAUGGGUAGCCGGCCUGAAAGGGUGACCGGCCACAUUGGGACUAGGAUACGGCCGAGACUGCUACGAGAGGCAGAAGUGGGGGAUAAUGCACAAUGGGCGGAAACCUGAUGCAGCGACGCCGCGUGGGGGAUGAAGGCUUUAGGGUUAUAAACCUCUUUCGCUAUCGAAAGGGUAGGUGGAGAAGAGGCGCCGGCUAACUACGUGCCAGCAGCCGCGGUAAUAC
rnacentral:rRNA from 1 species